UGCCUAAAGGUUAGUAGUAAUAGACCGGUUAAUCAGAUGCACUCUUUCUCCUAGUGGUAAAAAAUAAAUACGAUACUCUGGAUAAUUUCCCGGGUGAAGUGCUCACCGAUAUCCGUGCGCUUGCGGAUCAAUUCCUUAUUGCGUUCCCAAAUAUCAACAAGCAUUUCUGGCGCCGUUGCCGGGGAGAAAGACGGUUGCUGAGAUAACCUGUGUCUUGCUAUUAGCUUGUAUCUAUACUUUUAUCUUUUCUUAUCUUUUAUAUUCUUUAUUUAUUUUUCUUUACUCUUACCUUAUGGAAAACCAAAAUUCU
rnacentral:lncRNA from 1 species